GCCUCUGUAACUCAGCGGUAGAGUGUCUGACUUGUAAUCGAUGCAUAUUUAAGUGUCUCGAACAGCUAUCAGGUUGUCGAGGGUUCAAAUCCCUCCAGAGGCU
rnacentral:tRNA from 1 species